UACGUAGGGUGCGAGCGUUGUCCGGAAUUAUUGGGCGUAAAGAGCUCGUAGGCGGUCUGUCGCGUCGAAUGUGAAAACCCGGGGCUCAACUCCGGGCUUGCAUUCGAUACGGGCAGACUAGAGUUCGGUAGGGGAGACUGGAAUUCCUGGUGUAGCGGUGAAAUGCGCAGAUAUCAGGAGGAACACCGGUGGCGAAGGCGGAUCUCUGGGCCAUUACUGACGCUGAGGAGCGAAAGCGUGGGGAGCGAACAGG
rnacentral:rRNA from 1 species